CAGCACAAACGAAGAUACAGACGGAGCAGUAAUCGUUUUUUUCGGUCGCACCUACUUUCGCAAGCCCCUCUUGUUUUCUGUAAUUGCUUGCAUUGGCUAACCCCUUGAACGGGCGAAAUGAGCGAACUGUCAAGUGACUUGUCAACAACUUGUCUGUUUAUAAACAUUGUAAGCUUUGCAUUUUGCAGCAGACCAAAAGUUCCGCUUUGUAACACCAAAAUCAAACCGGUCGGGAUAGAAUCCUGGAACACCGGGAAAAAUAUACGUUAGGGUGCGUACGGACCGCUUGGGUGCGGAUCUGAUCAUGUGUACCGGAGGGUUCUUCGUAAAGAAAAAUUGCCAGAUCAUUUUGAAGCUACUGUAGGAACUUGUGUUUGAUGCUGCUGGUAGUGGCGGUGAUCCGACCAGGUUGAAACGCUAUUGUCAAGGUUCGUUUUCAGGUAAACGCUGACGUGAUGUAUACAUUCUGGCUAAAUCCUACGGAAAAGUGUCUAUUGUAAAGCCACCUUCCAGUCGCAGUCGGCGAUAUAUAGUUUGUCAUAAUCCGUUGCAACAGGGAGACACUUGGUCUUGGACUGCCGACAGAUCCAGAGACUAAGAGGCUUGAUGGACAAUGUUCGAGGAGGCUAAAACCGAUCGACAAACAACUGGUUCAGGAAACGCUUUGGCGACAAUGGAAUUUGGACCACAAAACGCGUCCCUUGCCGACGGAUGGGUUCACGAAAUGUGCGUCGAAUUACGCGUGGCAAUGUGUUAGUAAAACCAGCGCGGAAUCAUUCGGACGGUGUUUAUGAGCAAAAGCAACGGCAAUGUGUUCUACUACGAUACGAUCGGGACAAAUCCGGUUAGACGCAAAUUAGGGGCUAUGCGCCACGGACGGUUCUAUACGGAGAAAUUGAAGAGGAAAUUUCCGCCAAUAAGGUUGAAAGAGAAAAUCAUCCACGCGUUGCACAUCAUCGAUGCAAUGCUCUGGAAGUUCGCGGCCUAUCACUCGACGUAUACGAAACAUCCUUUGCAGCAAGCUCGCCUAACCCAUCAAUCAACCGCUGGUCUAUCAAAAUACUUUCGCUGUUUGGACGGGGACCGUGUCCGGUGCAAGACUACUUCCGAUGAUUGAACUAGAUGGCUUCUUCAGCAAUGUCUCGAUCUACGAGCUAUUCAGUGGCGCUAAAUUGCUUGGAAGCAACUUAACCUUUUGGAGCCGAUUUUUUUUGCCGCUGUCGACGCAACCUCGCUGGUGUGGAACACGUUUGCUAUGCUCGGUUUCAUCGCCGGGGUCAUAUAUGACCCCUCCGGCUCCAAAGGGUUAGCAUUUCGACGGGCGAGAACUAAGCGGUUCUAAAUUUCCCUAUGAGUCAAUCUUUGUGCAGAUCGGUUCGAAAGGUGCCGAGAAGCAACUUGAAGCCGAAUUUUGAGAAGACUUUCGGCAGUCGGAUUUGGUGGGCCUGGGGCAAAACCAGCCAGAUCUACUCGUCGGUGCUGCGGUUCGAGGCGCCAAUUUCUAUGAGUUUAUUGCGAAAUGCGCCGAUAAGAAGUGAUUGGCGUGAAAUGGCGCUAGAUGUAGGGUAGAUUCGGAAGUUAACUAUCCAGUUCUUCAGUUUCAUGAUUUUGUUGUUCAAAUAAUGUUCUCAAUAAAUAAUCUAAUCAACAGUUAA